GCUUGCUCUUCUUGGAUGAGUUGCGAACGGGUGAGUAACGCGUAGGUAACCUGCCUUGUAGCGGGGGAUAACUAUUGGAAACGAUAGCUAAUACCGCAUAACAAUGGAUGACACAUGUCAUUUAUUUGAAAGGGGCAAUUGCUCCACUACAAGAUGGACCUGCGUUGUAUUAGCUAGUAGGUGAGGUAAUGGCUCACCUAGGCGACGAUACAUAGCCGACCUGAGAGGGUGAUCGGCCACACUGGGACUGAGACACGGCCCAGACUCCUACGGGAGGCAGCAGUAGGGAAUCUUCGGCAAUGGGGGCAACCCUGACCGAGCAACGCCGCGUGAGUGAAGAAGGUUUUCGGAUCGUAAAGCUCUGUUGUAAGUCAAGAACGGGUGUGAGAGUGGAAAGUUCACACUGUGACGGUAGCUUACCAGAAAGGGACGGCUAACUACGUGCCAGCAGCCGCGGUAAUACGUAGGUCCCGAGCGUUGUCCGGAUUUAUUGGGCGUAAAGCGAGCGCAGGCGGUUUGAUAAGUCUGAAGUUAAAGGCUGUGGCUCAACCAUAGUUCGCUUUGGAAACUGUCAAACUUGAGUGCAGAAGGGGAGAGUGGAAUUCCAUGUGUAGCGGUGAAAUGCGUAGAUAUAUGGAGGAACACCGGUGGCGAAAGCGGCUCUCUGGUCUGUAACUGACGCUGAGGCUCGAAAGCGUGGGGAGCGAACAGGAUUAGAUACCCUGGUAGUCCACGCCGUAAACGAUGAGUGCUAGGUGUUGGAUCCUUUCCGGGAUUCAGUGCCGCAGCUAACGCAUUAAGCACUCCGCCUGGGGAGUACGACCGCAAGGUUGAAACUCAAAGGAAUUGACGGGGGCCCGCACAAGCGGUGGAGCAUGUGGUUUAAUUCGAAGCAACGCGAAGAACCUUACCAGGUCUUGACAUCCCGAUGCUAUUUCUAGAGAUAGAAAGUUACUUCGGUACAUCGGUGACAGGUGGUGCAUGGUUGUCGUCAGCUCGUGUCGUGAGAUGUUGGGUUAAGUCCCGCAACGAGCGCAACCCCUAUUGUUAGUUGCCAUCAUUCAGUUGGGCACUCUAGCGAGACUGCCGGUAAUAAACCGGAGGAAGGUGGGGAUGACGUCAAAUCAUCAUGCCCCUUAUGACCUGGGCUACACACGUGCUACAAUGGUUGGUACAACGAGUUGCGAGUCGGUGACGGCGAGCUAAUCUCUUAAAGCCAAUCUCAGUUCGGAUUGUAGGCUGCAACUCGCCUACAUGAAGUCGGAAUCGCUAGUAAUCGCGGAUCAGCACGCCGCGGUGAAUACGUUCCCGGGCCUUGUACACACCGCCCGUCACACCACGAGAGUUUGUAACACCCGAAGUCGGUGAGGUAAC
rnacentral:rRNA from 1 species